AAACAUGUUUAUAUUUAGAAUAGAAUUCAUCAACGUCAACAAGUUGAUUUGUGGCGUAAUGGUAGCGUGUCUAAAUCCAGCUCAAAAGGGUAAGGUUGUGUGUUCAAUUCAUGUCAGGUUUAAUUUUAAUUCCCUCAUCCGUUUCCUUUUUUAAAAUAUUUGUUUUCAAGUUUUCUCUAAUGGGCCUUUGCUUUUUUCCGUAUAAAGUUGCAUGGGUUGCUUUGGGCACCGGCCUUUUUGCUGAGACAUCCAGCAACGAGAACGAGUCAUUCUUUUGCUGCACCGGCGCUUCUUCUUCCGGCGUUCCUGCCUCUUCUUCCUCUUGGUGUUCCUACUUCUUCGUUCGUGG
rnacentral:lncRNA from 1 species